rnacentral:rRNA from 1 species
AUUUCACGUGUAGGGGUAAAAUCCGUAGAGAUGUGAAGGAACACCGGGGGCGAAGGCGCCUUCCUGGACGACUACUGACGCUGAGGCGCGAAAGCGUGGGGAGCAAACAGGAUUAGAUACCCUGGUAGUCCACGCCGUAAACGAUGAACACUAGUUAUUGGGGGUAUUGACUCCCUCAGCGACGCAGCUAACGCAUUAAGUGUUCCGCCUGGGGAGUACGGUCGCAAGACUAAAACUCAAACAAAUUGACGGGGGCCCGCAUAAGCGGUGGAUUAUGUGGUUUAAUUCGAAGCAACGCGCAGAACCUUACCUAGGCUUGAACUCCUACGAAUCCGGGGUAAUGCCUGGAGUGUCCGCAAGGAAAUUGAGUGAGAGGUGCUGCAUGGCUGUCGUCAGCUCGUGUUGUGAAAUGUUGGGUUAAGUCUCGCAACGAGCGCAACCUCUAUCGUCUGUUGCCAGCAUUAAGUUGGGCACUCUGACGAGACUGCCUGGGUUAACCAGGAGGAAGGUGGGGAUGACGUCAAGUCCUCAUGGCCCUUAUGUCUAGGGCUACACACGUAAUA